ACAUGCCUACAACAUAGUGUUAAUGCACCGGAUCCCAUUAGAAAUUUGUAGUUAGGCACACUCAGGCUAGAGUAGUACUGGGAUGAGUGACUGCCUAUGAAGUCCUAGUUGUUUUACAUGCC
rnacentral:rRNA from 1 species